rnacentral:rRNA from 1 species
CGUGUAGGCGGCUUGACAAGUCAGAUGUGAAAUCCCUGGGCUUAACCCAGGAAGUGCAUUUGAAACUGUCUGGCUCGAGUAAGGAAGAGGAAAGUGGAAUUCCUGGUGUAGAGGUGAAAUUCGUAGAUAUCAGGAGGAACACCGGUGGCGAAGGCGACUUUCUGGCCCUAUACUGACGCUGAGACGCGAAAGCGUGGGUAGCAAACA